GAUUAGCUAGUUGGGGAGGUAAAGGCUCACCAAGGCGACGAUCGGUAGCUGGUCUGAGAGGACGACCAGCCACACUGGGACUGAGACACGGCCCAGACUCCUACGGGAGGCAGCAGUGGGGAAUAUUGCACAAUGGGGGGAACCCUGAUGCAGCAACGCCGCGUGAGUGAUGACGGCCUUCGGGUUGUAAACCGCUUUUGUCAGGGACGAAAAGGGACUCGCUAAUACCGGGUUCUGCUGACGGUACCUGAAGAAUAAGCACCGGCUAACUAC
rnacentral:rRNA from 1 species